GCCAUCAUGGUGUAGUGGUUUGAUUAUUGGACUACGACUCUGGAAACCAGGGUUCGAGUCUCUGUUCAGGCA
rnacentral:tRNA from 1 species